rnacentral:rRNA from 1 species
UACGUAGGCAGCAAGCGUUGUUCGGAGUUACUGGGCGUAAAGGGUGCGUAGGCGGUCCUAUAAGUAUGGUGUGAAAUCUCCCGGCUUAACUGGGAGGGUGCGCUAUAGACUGUGGGACUAGAGUGUGGGAGAGGAAAGUGGAAUUCCUGGUGUAGCGGUGAAAUGCGCAGAUAUCAGGAGGAACACCCGUGGUGUAGACAGCUUUCUGGACCAUUUCUGACACUGAGACACGAAAGCGUGGGUAGCAAACAGG